rnacentral:rRNA from 1 species
UGGGGAAUAUUGGACAAUGGGCGCAAGCCUGAUCCAGCCAUGCCGCGUGAGUGAUGAAGGCCCUAGGGUUGUAAAGCUCUUUCAGUGGUGAAGAUAAUGACGGUAACCACAGAAGAAGCCCCGGCUAACUUCGUGCCAGCAGCCGCGGUAAUACGAAGGGGGCUAGCGUUGUUCGGAAUAACUGGGCGUAAAGCGCGCGUAGGCGGCUAUCCAAGUCAGGGGUGAAAUCCCGGGGCUCAACCCCGGAACUGCCCUUGAAACUAGGUAGCUAGAAUCCUGGAGAGGCGAGUGGAAUUCCGAGUGUAGAGGUGAAAUUCGUAGAUAUUCGGAAGAACACCAGUGGCGAAGGCGACUCGCUGGACAGGUAUUGACGCUGAGGUGCGAAAGCGUGGGGAGCAAACAGGAUUAGAUACCCCCGUAGUCC